rnacentral:lncRNA from 1 species
UUUAAUUUUGAAAAAUCAGAAUUUAUAGUGCACUAAGGCAACUGCUUAGUGGCUCAAGUCUUGUGGUCUUGGGAGCAUAUUCGUCUGCAGACUGAAAGGUAAACUUGAGAAACUGGCUACAGAGCAAGAGGUGGUGGGUGACACAACGGCAGUUAGGAGCAUUUCAAACUGGGAUUAGGUCCUCAAAGCCUGACACACUAGGAAAGAGUUUCCCCUCACCCUGCAACUCGGUCGCCUCUUGUCGCCCAACCCGCAGGGGGCGUCCUACGCACUGUCAACUCGGGAGUGCCCGCAUGCAAGCUGUUUUUUCCAGUAUGAGCCAGAUGGGAGACCACAGUGUGGAGUCACGCACCUUACCCUGAGCACUCUGGGCCUGACUACUGAAAGAAAAGAAGAGCAUCCGGAUUACUCCCGCAGUGACCAUAGACAGGAGGCGGGGCGGGGCGAGCGGAGGUGAGCCUCGCGUGGCCCCGCCCCUCGAGGGGACUCACCUGGGGCGGGCGGGGCGUGGGUGGGCGGGGCGAGCGGAGGUGAGCGACGCGCGGACCUGCCGCUCAGGCAGUUACGGAGGUUGGUGGCUUUUGGCCACUCACGCUACGCCAGGGGCUGAGGAGUGCCAGCUGAGGUUGCACAGAGAAUCCUCCUGGCUGAUGGAUAGACAGAGAUGUUCAUUACUCAACUCCUCCACAAAGAAGAGCUAAAGAUGCACAGCUGUGUUCAGAGGUGAGUGAUCAAUUGGACUCCUAUGAGAAUCUGAGACCUGGGACAACAGCAGAAGAAAGGAAACAGAAUCAUGGUGCCUGCCAGCCCACAGCCACAGCUGCAGAGGACAAACAUCCCUGUGAGGGCGACAGGCCCAGCACACUGCCAGCGUGUGUGCUGGUAACUUUUGAUCCUGGAGGUUUUCAUAAUUUGAUGUCUACAGCUCACUGACAUCAAAAACCUAGAAUCUGUAAGUAUCAUUUCCUUUCAUAAAAGCAGCUCACAUAUCCUGCUGCCUGGCAGGCCUGUCCUUAGGGUGCUGUUACUA